GCCGAAGUGGCGGAAUGGCAGACGCGCCUGGCUCAAACCCAGGUGAGGGCAACCUCAUGUGGGUUCGACUCCCACCUUCGGCACCA
rnacentral:tRNA from 1 species